rnacentral:rRNA from 1 species
CAUGCGUCGCUAUACUGCAGUCGAGCGCACGAAUCUCGGCCCCCUUCCGUGGCAAGUCGACGCAAUGACGCCCUUACUCCUGAGUCACUCCUAACCAACCUGCCCUCAGGUCUGGGAUAACCACUAGAAAUCGGGGCUAAUACCUGAUGGGUCAUCGGACCGCAUGGUCCGACGAUGAAAGGCGCUUCGGCGUCGCCUGGGGAUGGCUUUGCGGUGCAUUAGCCAUUUGGUGGGGUAAUGGCCCACCAAGGCGACGAUGCAUAGCCUACCUGAGAGGGGAAUCGGCCAUACUGGGACUGAGACACGGCCCCAAACUAAUACGGGAGGCAGCAGUAGGGAAUCUUCCACAAUGGACGAAAGUCUGAUGGAGCAACGCCGCGUGAACGAUGAAGGCCUUCGGGUCGUAAAGUUCUGUUGUAAGGGAAGAACAAGUGCCGCAGGCAAUGGCGGCACCUUGACGGUACCUUGCGAGAAAGCCACGGGCUAACUACGUGCAGCGUCCCCGGGGAAAA